rnacentral:rRNA from 1 species
CCAGACUCCUACGGGAGGCAGCAGUGGGGAAUAUUGGGCAAUGGGCGCAAGCCUGACCCAGCAAUGCCGCGUGAAGGAAGAAGGCUUUCGGGUUGUAAACUUCUUUGACAGGGGAAGAGCAGAAGACGGUACCCUGAAAACAAGCUACGGCUAACUACGUGCCAGCAGCCGCGGUAAUACGUAGGUGGCAAGCGUUAUCCGGAUUUACUGGGUGUAAAGGGCGUGUAGGCGGGUCUGCAAGUCAGAUGUGAAAUCUCAUGGCUCAACCAUGGAACUGCAUUUGAAACUGUAGAUCUUGAGUGAUGGAGAGGCAGGCGGAAUUCCGUGUGUAGCGGUGAAAUGCGUAGAUAUACGGAGGAACACCAGUGGCGAAGGCGGCCUGCUGGACAUUAACUGACGCUGAGGCGCGAAAGCGUGGGGAGCAAACAGGAUUAGAUACCCGUGUAAA